AUACUUACCUGGCAGGGGAGACACCAUGAUCAAGCAGGUGGUUUUCCCAGGGCGAGGCCCACCCAUUGCACUUGGGGUGUGCUGACCCCUGCGAUUUCCUCAAAUUAGGGAAACUCGACUGCAUAGUUUGUGGUGGUGGUGGUGGGGGGACUGCGUUCGCGCUCUCCCCUC
ensembl:snRNA U1 U1 spliceosomal RNA